rnacentral:rRNA from 1 species
UGAUCCUGCUCAGGAUGAACUAUGGCGGCGUGCCUAACACAUGCAAGUCGAGCGAUCUCUUCGGAGAGAGCGGCGGACGGGUGAGUAACGCGUGGGUAACCUGCCUCCUGUACACACGGAUAACAUACCGAAAGGUAUACUAAUACGGGAUAACAUAUGAAAGUCGCAUGGCUUUUGUAUCAAAGCUCCGGCGGUACAGGAUGGACCCGCGUCUGAUUAGCUAGUUGGUAAGGUAAUGGCUUACCAAGGCAACGAUCAGUAGCCGACCUGAGAGGGUGAUCGGCCACACUGGAACUGAGACACGGUCCAGACUCCUACGGGCAGCAGUGGGGAAUAUUGCACAAUGGGCGAAAGCCUGAUGCAGCAACGCCGCGUGACGAUGAAGGCCUUCGGGUCGUAGGAAGCUCUGUCCUCAAGGAAGAUAAUGACGGUACUUGAGGAGGAAGCCCCGGCUAACUACGUGCCAGCAGCCGCGGUAAUACGUAGGGGGCUAGCGUGUAUCCGAAUUACUGGGCGUAAAGGGUGCGUAGGUGGUUUUAAGUCAGAAGUGAAAGGCUACGGCUCAACCGUAGUAAGCUUUUGAAACUAGAGAAAACUUGAGUGCAGGAGAGGAGAGUAGAAUUCCUAGUGUAGCGGUGAAAUGCGUAGAUAUUAGGAGGAAUACCAGUAGGCGAAGGCGGCUCUCUGGACUGUAACUGACACUGAGGCACGAAAGCGUGGGGAGCAAACAGGAUUAGAUACCCUGGUAGUCCACGCCGUAAACGAUGAGUACUAGGUGUCGGGGGUUACCCCCCUCGGUGCCGCAGCUAAGGCCGCAUUAAGUACUCCGCCUGGGAAGUACGCUCGCAAGUUAAGUGAAACUCAAAGGAAUUGACGGGGACCCGCACAAGUAGCGGAGCAUGUGGUUUAAUUCGAAGCAACGCGAAGAACCUUAUUCCCUAAGCUUGACAUCCCACUGACCUCUCCCUAAUCGGAGAUUUCCCUUCGGGGACAGUGGUGACAGGUGGUGCAUGGUUGUCGUCUCAGCUCGUGUCGUGAGAUGUUGGGUUAAGUCCCGCAACGAGCGCAACCCUUGCCUUUAGUUGCCAGCAUUAAGUUGGGCACUCUAGAGGGACUGCCGAGGAUAACUCGGAGGAAGGUGGGGAUGACGUCAAAUCAUCAUGCCCCUUAUGCUUAGGGCUACACACGUGCUACAAUGGGUGGUACAGAGGGUUGCCAAGCCGCGAGGUGGAGCUAAUCCCUUAAAGCCAUUCUCAGUUCGGAUUGUAGGCUGAAACUCGCCUACAUGAAGCUGGAGUUACUAGUAAUCGCAGAUCAGAAUGCUGCGGUGAAUGCGUUCCCGGGUCUUGCUAUACACACCGCCCGUCACACCAUGGAAGUUGGGCGCCCGAAGCCCGUUAGCUAACCUUAUUAGGAAGCGGCCGUCGAAGGUGAAACCAAUGACUGGGGUGAUCGUAACAAGGUAGCCGUAUCGGAAGGUGCGGCUGGAUCACCUCCUU